rnacentral:rRNA from 1 species
CCUACGGGUGGCAGCAGUGAGGAAUAUUGGUCAAUGGACGAGAGUCUGAACCAGCCAAGUAGCGUGAAGGAUGACUGCCCUAUGGGUUGUAAACUUCUUUUAUAUGGGAAUAAAAUGUUCCACGUGUGGGAUUUUGUAUGUACCAUAUGAAUAAGGAUCGGCUAACUCCGUGCCAGCAGCCGCGGUAAUACGGAGGAUCCGAGCGUUAUCCGGAUUUAUUGGGUUUAAAGGGAGCGUAGGUGGAUUGUUAAGUCAGUUGUGAAAGUUUGCGGCUCAACCGUAAAAUUGCAGUUGAAACUGGCAGUCUUGAGUACAGUAGAGGUGGGUGGAAUUCGUGGUGUAGCGGUGAAAUGCUUAGAGAUCACGAAGAACUCCGAUUGCGAAGGCAGUUCACUGGACUGCAACUGACACUGAGGCUCGAAAGUGUGGGUAUCAAACAGGAUUAGAUACCCCAGUAGUC